rnacentral:rRNA from 1 species
GCCUAUUCCCUUUCCCCUUUCCAUCCCCUCCUCCACUGCAGCUGCCCUGCUGCCCCCUCCUCGGCGAGGCGCCUCACGAGCGCCGCGAGGUCAGCGCGGGAGCCGCGCCCGCACGAGCGCCGCGAGGGAGGUGGCCAAUACGGCGAGGCGCCGCGCCCGCACGAGCGCCGUGAGAUCAAAGUGCAGCAGCAGCCAAUACGGCGAGGCGCAGCGACUGCACGGGCUCCGCGAGGUCCAGGGGCGGAAGCAGCCAAUACGGCGAGCGGUGCCUGUCCGGCGACCAUACGGCCUCCGCGGCGUGCUCGACCUUGCUCCUACGCCUCCUACCCGGGCUGGACCUCCCCCCGGGCGUCGUCCCCACCCGCAUCACCAAGCUCCCCAACGGCGUCCGCGACUCGGCGUCGCCUCCGAGGAUUUCCAG